AUUCUGCCCAACCAACUACUCGAGCUGAAGAUUUCAAUUUUAAAGGUCAAAAAGUGAAGAAACAAAGAAAUGCCUCGGACCCAAAAUCGCUUAAGCUGCGUAUCAAAGUUGGCCCUCAAAAUUUGUCGACCCAAAAGAAUGCGGAAAUCUACAGUGGGCUUGGGCUGGAUGUCUCUCCAUCAUCAUCGCUGGAUGGUAGCCCCAUCGAUAGUGAAGGGGUAUCCCGUGACCUUCAGGUUUCCCCAGAUGAGUCCCCUACUAGUAUACUUCAGAUUAUGACCUCACAUCCAAUGAGCGAUACCUUAUUGUUAUCCCCCCUCUCAGACGAGUUGAUUAGCUUGACCGAAAAUGAAAAGCAUUGGGGAAAAUGUGGAUAUGAAGGGAACAAAAAGGCAAUCCUUG
rnacentral:misc_RNA from 1 species